rnacentral:rRNA from 1 species
GACGAACCGUGCGAACGUUUAUUCGGAAUCACUGGGCCUAAAGCGCGUGUAGGCGGCCCGGCACGUCUCUGGCUGAAAUCCCCCGGCUCAACCGGGGAAGGGGCCGGGAUACGACCGGGCUGGAGGGGGGUAGGGGGGACGGGAACUCCGGGUGGAGCGGUGAAAUGCGUUGAGAUCCGGAGGAACGCCCGCGGCGAAAGCGCGUCCCUGGACCCCGCCUGACGCUGAGACGCGAAAGCCAGGGGAGCGAACGGG